rnacentral:rRNA from 1 species
UACGUAGGGGGCUAGCGUUGUCCGGAUUUACUGGGUGUAAAGGGUUCGUAGGCGGUGUGGCAAGUCGGGAGUGAAAUCUCUGGGCUCAACUCAGAGACUGCUUCCGAAACUGCUGUGCUGGAGUGUGGGAGAGGCGCGUGGAAUUGCAGGUGUAGCGGUGAAAUGCGUAGAUAUCUGCAGGAACACCCGUGGCGAAAGCGGCGCGCUGGACCACUACUGACGCUGAGGAACGAAAGCUAGGGGAGCAAACAGG